CACAUUUUUGCCCUCCAGUAGGAGACAAGUCUGAGAAACCAGGAGGGAGAAAUACAACAAGCAACGAGAAUCCUUAAAUCUAACUCAUGUGAGAUGAGUUCUUUAACCUCUCUGAGCUUCUACUUCUUAAAUUCAUAAAAUGUGGAAAAUAAGACUUUGGGUCUGGAGUUGUCACCAGGAUACGUGACUUCUGUGAAGAGCUCAGCACAGGGACUGGCACUCGGGUGACCAGGCCCUGACCCAUGCCUCCAGCAGCACCCAGCUCAUGCCUUGCACUCCAUGGAACUACCAACGUCAUCAGCUGAGACCCAGCUCCCACCACGUCCCCGUGCCUCCUGACGCUCCGCUCACACAUCACCUCCUCUGUGAAGCUCUUCUUGACCAAGCCAUCACCUCCCCAUCACACCCAUCUCUGCUCACUAUCAAGCUCACUGCUAUGCAUCCAUGUCCUCGAGGGUGGCAAUGCCCUUGUUCAUCUCUGUCCUCUAGAGGUCUAACAGUGCCUGAUGCCUGG